GAUGAACGCUAGCUACAGGCUUAACACAUGCAAGUCGCGGGGCAGCAUGGGGGUUGCUUGCCAUCCCCGAUGGCGACCGGCGCACGGGUGAGUAACGCGUAUCCAACCUGCCCUUCACCACGGGAUAACCCGGCGAAAGUCGGACUAAUACCGUAUGUUGUCCAUUGACGGCAUCCGAUUUGGACGAAAGGCUUGGCGGUGAGGGAUGGGGAUGCGUCCGAUUAGCCAGGCGGCGGGGUAACGGCCCACCGUGGCUACGAUCGGUAGGGGUUCUGAGAGGAAGGUCCCCCACACUGGAACUGAGACACGGUCCAGACUCCUACGGGAGGCAGCAGUGAGGAAUAUUGGUCAAUGGGCGUAAGCCUGAACCAGCCAAGUAGCGUGCAGGAUGACGGCCCUAUGGGUUGUAAACUGCUUUUAUGCGGGGAUAAAGUGGCCCACGUGUGGGCUUUUGCAGGUACCGCAGGAAUAAGGACCGGCUAAUUCCGU
rnacentral:rRNA from 1 species